rnacentral:tRNA from 1 species
UAUAUUCUAGUAUAAGAUGUACAAAAGUUUUUGAUACUUUAGGAAAUAAUUUAAUUUUUAUUGAAUAUAA